AAAACGGCACACAAGCCAGAACAAAGUGCGUCGACGACGCCACUCGACACCAAAUGCGUCGUCGAUAACGCCGCAUUAAAACACGGACACCUUGUUGAAUUCACAAACAUUCACAAACCAAACCACGAUAUGCUGCGAUUUAACGGCCCUGACCGGUUGAUACGGCUGCUCCGCAGGUUGCUGUCCUCGAUGUUGAAAGAAACGUUGUUGAAACACGCCGCAUCACUCGCAUAACAUGUGAAUACCAGCCGCCACCAUCCAUGCGAUCACGAUUACCAUGGAGCACCGUGCCGAUACAGUGGUGCCGAGGAGCCAGAGACCAACGUUGCCUGAGACGGCAAAACGGUAGACGACGAUGUAAACAAUAUGGCCGCCAUGACGUUUAUCCGGCUCUUGCAAAGCUUCCGGUGCCUCUAUCUUGACGAAAUGACAUCAUUUUCCCGUGUUCGGCUGUCAAAAUGUUACCAGUCUAGAAACGUUGGGCUGUCGGUAUGUGAGCGCAGCAUGAAUAUUUUCCUUGCGGACGGUCGAUGUGGUAGUUUAAUCAUAUUUACGCUUUGCCGAGAGAAAAUGUGCUCUUUUUUGUGCGCAUCAGCGAUCGCUAAGCCCCUGGGCCUGUGCAACGCUGCUAGCUAGCUGUAUCUUUCGUGCGGUGCGGCGUUGUUGGCCAUCGUAGUUCGGUCCAUUCGUGCUCUUUGUUCCCGGCUCAUUAGCAGCCUCUGGUACUCUCGCCGAUCUCGCAGCGGUUCACAGUGCACGGAAGAAUGUGUUGGAAAUUGUACUAUUACGUUCAUCCGCAAUUUAACAGUGUUUAUGCCGGAAGGACAGUUCGUGCAGUCGAUGCCGCCGGACCUGACACGAAGGAGCGUUUGCCGAGUAUGUCUCGAAAGGGAUGUCACGAUUUCGUGAGACGGAGGCAUCUCUGCACCACAUGGGAGCCUGUGGCAAAAUGCAGUCUGAGCAGCCCGACAAGGAAUCUGAUCUGCUUGCUUUGACAAGGUAUGGCUGGGCCUGCAGAGAAAGUGUAAGCAGACUGUGCUGUGUUGCUGAUCAGUGCUGAUCUCCACGCCUGAGUUGGUCCCACAACAUCCAGGCACCAGCGUGCUUUGCUUCAUCAUUGACAAGGUAAUAUGAUAUGGAGAGCUUGCACCUGGAUAUCAGUUUUGAGCUUGAGUUUUGAGAAAUAUGUUGAGAUAGAAGACACAAGGGUUGGCCUUGGUGAUAGAUACACGUGUGUUUUUUUUAAGUGCUCUUUUUGAAAUAUUCUUCGUGGACCUAUUUUCAGCAAAUGUUUACAUUCCUUAAUUGCAAACUGCCAUGGAGCUGGUUUAUGCCUUAAACUAGCACUCUUUCACCAAGAAAAAGCCUUAUUUAGCAUAAAAUUCAUAGGAAAGGCAAGGAGGUGACAGGACAGAACACUACUAACACCAUCCAAUUUUACUGCUUGCACAGCAAUAUAAAGCGAGAGUUGAAAGGACGAGGUUUGGGUUUGUGUUCGUUGGUUCUAUGGGUUUUGGAGCCCCACACAGCUUCUUUGCUAGGCAGACAAGCUUGUGGGAUGUGCUUCUGAAAUUCGUACAGCACACUGACAGUGCAGGUGCGGGCCUCAUCUUCGGAAGUGCACUGACGGCACCAUUCACGGCGCAGAUGACUCUCAUAGAGUCAGGCAGGGCACCAGUGUUGAUGUUUGUUCCCUUGCCCAAAACAGCAUGUUUAGGUUCAGUGUAGUUGUAAGAAGACAAGUUAAACAUUACUUUCAUGGUUUGAGUGGCCGCAUUUUUCUUAGAGCACUGAAUUUCUUUUCUUGCAACUGCCUGCCCUGGUGUUUCCUUAGCGUCGGCAUGAAGUUGGCAUGGAGUUACGCAUCCGGGAACUCGUGAACAAUGACCCUGUAGUUGACACUUUGCGAAGAAUACAUCGGCUUCCAAGCCCUUCAUUUUCUGUUGGCAUACUUUUACUUGUACUGUUAGCAAUUUCUUCUCGGCUUGCUGAAUUAUCCUGAGGCCCCACACUGACACUACUGAUGUCUUCAAUUGAAGACUUUUCAGGAUAAGACUCCUGGCUUUGCAAGUGUGGUUUAAAAAAAGGUGGCACUUACAGGUGGCUAUUCAAGACCUGAGUGAAAUGAACCGGCAAGUCUUGGUUACAUCUUGUGUGUAGUCCUG